rnacentral:lncRNA from 1 species
GGGGGGGGGGGCUAGGAUGAAAAAUUUUGUCCUGCAUUUUUUUUUUAGCUGUAAUCUCUGUCCUGCCUUUUUAUUUUUCACUCUUAUCGGUCCUGCCUAUUUUUUUUUUUAGUUUAUCCUGACUUUUUUUUACCUAAAUUGUCGUCCUGACUUUUUUUUUUGCAAGUGUCACAUCCUGCCUUUUUUUUUACUCAAAACUCCUGUCCAGCCUAUUUUUUUCAAAUUUCAUACUUUUAUAAAUUGUGACUUGGAUGGAGAGUUGUCUCAUUGGCAAACAUACCACAUCUUCC